CUAAUACCGGAUGACGUCGGAGCAUCGCAUGAUGCGCUGACGAAAGGGUUACUGGAUCGGGAGAGCCUCGCGGCCUAUCAGCUUGUUGGUGGGGUAACGGCCCACCAAGGCAUCGACGGGUAGCUGGUCUGAGAGGAUGAUCAGCCACACUGGGACUGAGACACGGCCCAGACUCCUACGGGAGGCAGCAGUGGGGAAUCUUGCGCAAUGGGCGAAAGCCUGACGCAGCAACGCCGCGUGCGGGAUGAAGGCUCUCGGGUUGUAAACCUCUUUCAGCUCCGACGAAGCGCAAGUGACGGUAGGGGCAGAAGAAGCACCGGCCAACUACGUGCCAGCAGCCGCGGUAAUACGUAGGGUGCGAGCGUUGUCCGGAAUUACUGGGCGUAAAGAGCUCGUAGGUGGUUUGUCGCGUUGUCCGUGAAAACUCACAGCUCAACUGUGGGCGUGCGGGCGAUACGGGCAGACUGGAGUACUGCAGGGGAGACUGGAAUUCCUGGUGUAGCGGUGGAAUGCGCAGAUAUCAGGAGGAACACCGGUGGCGAAGGCGGGUCUCUGGGCAGUAACUGACGCUGAGGAGCGAAAGCGUGGGGAGCGAACAGGAUUAGAUACCCUGGUAGUCCACGCCGUAAACGGUGGGUACUAGGUGUGGGUUUCCUUCCUUGGGAUCCGUGCCGUAGCUAACGCAUUAAGUACCCCGCCUGGGGAGUACGGCCGCAAGGCUAAAACUCAAAGAAAUUGACGGGGGCCCGCACAAGCGGCGGAGCAUGUGGAUUAAUUCGA
rnacentral:rRNA from 1 species